rnacentral:rRNA from 1 species
CUUGACAAACUUAUAAGAGGUCCAGCCUGCCCAGUGACUCUGUUCAACGGCCGCGGUAUCCUAACCGUGCGAAGGUAGCGUAAUCACUUGUUCUUUAAAUGAGGACUAGUAUGAAUGGCACCACGAAGGUUAUACUGUCUCCUUUUUCUAAUCAGUGAAACUAAUCUUCCCGUGAAGAAACGGGAAUAAAAAUAUAAGACGAGAAGACCCUAUGGAGCUUUAAACAAAUAUACACCUGCCUCUUUACCAAAAAUUUCAGAAGACAAGUAAUUACCCGGGCAUUUUGAUAUAGCGUUUUAGGUUGGGGUGACCGCGGAGCAAAAAACAACCUCCGCAGCGAACGGGAGUAUUCCCUAAACCAAGGGCCACAACCCCAAGUAUUGAUAAAUCAACACCAAUUGACCCAAUAAAUUUGAUCAAUGAAC